rnacentral:tRNA from 1 species
CGCAAGGUAGCGCAGUUGGCAGCUCGUCGGGCUCAUAUCCCGGAGGUCGCAGGUUCGAGUCCUGUCCUUGCUA